GGUGAUUCUUGGGUGACACACCUCAGAAUUGGGCUCCCUCCUCUCUGGUUCUGGGUGUGUUACCUGAGAACCACA
rfam:Myotis lucifugus cont2.29317, whole genome shotgun sequence.